rnacentral:rRNA from 1 species
CACAACUUUCAACAACGGAUCUCUUGGCUCUCGCAUCGAUGAAGAACGCAGCGAAAUGCGAUAAGUAAUGUGAAUUGCAGAAUUCAGUGAAUCAUCGAAUCUUUGAACGCACCUUGCGCCCCUUGGUAUUCCGAGGGGCAUGCCUGUUUGAGUGUCA